GAAGUGUGCCUGGUGGAGAGACUCCACCGGCAACUCCAGUCACUGGCAGAGUCAGACGCACCCGUGCAAGAGCAGACACCCAUUCCAUAUACCCAAGGCCAGGAACCCCCCACUGGGGUGCCAGAGUUCUGAGGUUCACAAACAGCCCGGCCUCUGACAAUUUCCUCCCAUCCUCUCUCACACACACAAUGGCCCUCAAACAGCGCACACCUGCACGAAGGAACCCCCGCACACAUACCGAGCUCUCAACCCCAAAAUGCAAACCCGCUGAAGGGGCCAGCUUCCGGACCUGCUGUUCACUAGAGCCAGGCCAGCCUGGAGCUCUGCAGCCACGACAGCACUGACAUCCACACACGUGUGCACACACGCAAGACCGUGCACCUACACGCAUGUACACUCUCCCACACAUGAACACACCCCGUGGGUGCACACACACGCCCAUUUCGCCCCCGCCCCCUUCAUCUGCAGUAUAGGACCAGCCCUGCGGUCCCAGCUCCCUGACAGUCCUCACCCCUGGACGCUGGCAGAGCCGUGCCUCACCGAAGGGCACUGACUCUCUCCUGGCACUUAAUGUAGUCUUCAUAGUCCGCGAAGACUUUAAACCUGAAGGGGAAUGGAGAAGCAGGAUGCCUCAUGAGGUCAAGAGCCAAGCCCAUCCUCUCCCAGCGGACUUCCAGGGACCUGGACGGCGAUGCCUCUUCCAAAAGGAAUCUGGCCCCAACCACCCAGAAUCCCUGCCCAGCUUCCCCCCCCCUGCUGCCCGGAACCUGAGCCUGUUCAGCCCAGCAGCCCCCGUGCACGGUUCCCUGGCCGGCCCGCUCACCGGUCAUGGUGCAUGAGCAUGUUGACAAUGUCCUUGAACAGGUGUGUUUCUUCCACGAACCGCUUUUCUCUCCCCAUCCCAAGUCCAUCCCAAGUCCAUCCCUGGCCUCGCCUUCAUGAUCCAGGAAGAGCCAACAGGUAUCUCCUGAGAAAGGUCCUUAAACUCUCUGGCCAAGCUCAUCGCUGUCCCUGGUACCAACUUUCCUCCAGUGUCCCACUUCCUGAGGCAGCACAACCCAUCCCCAGGCUGCCUGGGUUCAAAUCCCUCCUCAAGACCAGUCUCGCCUCUUUCCUUCCCUCCUCUCUUCCAAACAGAAACCAAGGCCACCUCCUCAACUGUGUCCCUAAACCCCAUCCCUGGCACUGGCCUUUGGCAAAAGACUCUCCCUGCUAUGUGGUGUCAACCCCCCACUGGUCCCUCACAGACACUUUGCCCCCUGUGGUCCAGCCUCCAUCCUGCAGCUGAAAGUGUCCAUCUGGAGCCUAGUUCUGAACAUGCUGGACUCUGCUCAAAACAUUUCCUAUAUUGGAGUUCCCGUUGUGGCUCAGUGGAAAUGAACCCAACUAGGAUCCAUGAGCACAGAGGUUCACUCAGUGGGUUAAAGAUCUGGCGUUGCCAUGAGCUGUGGUGUAGGUCGCAGACGCAGCACGGAUCCAGCCUGGCUCUGGCUGUGGCGUAGGCCAGCGGCUAUAGCUCCAAUUUGACCCCUAGCCUGGGAACCUCCAUGUGCCAUGGGUGUGGCCCUAAAAAGACAAAAAUAAAUUACUAAUAAUAAAAAUAAAAACAUAAUGCUAGGAAAAUAUCUUCUCUGAAGAUCUGCAUUUCUGACCAUCAGCACUGUUGUAACUACUGUAUUCAUAUUUCUCUUUUUGCUAUGGCUGCCAGGAGGCUAAGAAUUUAAUUUUACUCCCAAUUGCAGAAAUAGCAUUAUCUCCUAGGGUCAAUACUAUUUUCUCUUCCUUUUCCUUUGAUUCUGUAUUAUUUCCUUUCCAAUUUCAUUUAUCUUAUUUGUUAUAAGUUAUCUCAAAAAUUUUCUAGGAGCUCCUGCUGUGGCGCAACAGGACCAGUGACAUCUUGGGAGCGGCUGGGACGCAGGUUCGAUCCCUGAUCAGGCACGGUGGCUUAGGGAUCUGGCAUUGCCAAAGCUGCAGCUUAGGUGGCGACGAUAGCUCCCAUCUGAUCCCUGGCCUGAGAGCUCCAUAUGCCAUAGAGUGGCCCCAAAAAAUGACCAAAAAAAAAAGUUUUCUAGACUCUGGAUGGCCAUCACUAAGAGACCUUGUGCAGCCUGGACCAGCCUUUCCAGCCAUGCCUCUCGCUCCCAGCUCUACCCGCCAGCAGCCACACUUUGGCGCCUCGUGCCCAUGGACUGUGAACUUGGCAGCCCUUGACUCCCAUACCCUUUCUGGUCAAGCCGUUCCACGUCCUCCACCCGCAUGCCGAAGAUAAAGAAGUUCUCCUCCCCCGCCUCUUCUGCCAUCUCCACGUUGGCCCCAUCCAUGGUGCCAAUGGUCAGGGCCCCAUUGAGCAUGAACUUCAUGUUGCCCGUGCCCGAGGCCUCGGUACCCGCAGUAGAGAUCUGCUCCGAGAGGUCAGCGGCCGGGAUCACUGUGGGGUGGCAGCAGGGGACACGCUUAGUCAGGGAAGAGCCCCACAUCAGCUGGAGACUCUGGAGUGAAACCCCAGCUGGAUUCAGGGUCCCCUCUCCGUCCCAACUCUCCAGUCUUCAGCAACUGGGGGCCCUCUCAGGCCCCCCACCUCUUAUUGAUUCUUGAACAUCUGGGAUCUAACCAAGACUCCCCGCACCCUACCCCCAGCUCCAUUGUGUGAUCUGAAGGGCACCACCGAGGCCCAUCUCUGCUAUCAUGUCACCCUGUACUGCAUGAAAUGCCACCCUCAAGGGGACAGCCUCAGGAUCUGAGUGUUGUCCCCUCCAGAUGUUUCUUUAAAGUGCGAGCACCCCAGGAUGCGGAGACGAAUAUCGCUCCCUGGGACGGAACUAAUCAGAGCUUCCCGAGGGUCCCCACGGGCGGCCCCCCACCUUUCUCAGCCAGCGAGACCCGGUAGUUCUCCAGGAAGAUCACGCGGAGGCGGUCUCCCACCACGGGAUCGUGGUUGACCACAUCCCCAAUGGCUGUAAUGAGUUUGAUGAUCAUCUUGGCCAUGUGGUACCCAGGGGCAGCCUGUGGGGGCACAGUCUGGGAUCAGCUCCACGGCCCGACCUCCUACCCCCAUCCUGCAACCCAGCCAGGCUGACCUCAACCCGGAUGUGUCAAAGGUCUGCAGCCCAGCUUCUCACCUUCCCUCCAAUCAUCACCGUUCGAGGCACGACAAACUUAUUGGGUUCCUUCUUGAUGCCUAUGGAGAAACAGAGGGAUGGCAUGAGGGGGCCUAGUUCUCCCUCUGGGCAGGAGCUCCUGACAGCACCCAUCCAGCCAGGCCCCGGCUGGGAGACCGGAGCCCUGACUUGGGCAAUCACUUGCUUUGUGACCUCCGAUCUGUCACGUCCUCCGUAACAGAGCCUCCGUCUGCCCAUCUGUGAAAUGGGACUAAUUCCACAUCCCAAGAGUUGUUCCGAGGCCGGAGGAGAGGUGGGUCAGGAAGUAUGUAGUGUGCUGAGAGGAACCAGAGGGGGCCCCGGAGCCAGAGGGCACCCUGCAACUCACGGUUGUACAGUGUGAUGACGUGGAGGCAGUUGAGGAGCUGGCGUUUAUAUUCGUGAAUCCGCUUCACCUGGAUGUCGAAGAGCGAGUUGGGGUUGAUGUGGACUUUGUAUUCCCUCUCUAGAUACGCAGAGAACUUUAACUUGUUUUCCUGAAGGCAGGGGAGGUGGGGAGAGCUCACCAACAGGCCUCAGCCUCAGGAAAUCCUACAGUCUCAUUUCUUUCCCAGGAAGGGAGAGGAUAGAAGCCAUCCUGGCCACCUUCAUCCACGCCUGCGUCAGGGCAGACAUUGCUAAUCAAUGUCAGCACUCUUCCAGGGAAGCCAGGCGAGGCCUUCCCACCAUGGACUGACUCCAGGCAACUUCUACCAAUGGCCUGAGGUUGCAGGAGAGAUGAGCUCUAUUGGCCAUCCCGGACCCCGGCGUCCGACCCCUCCAGCACCCUCCACGCCAGCCCCAGCACAGGUGUCUGGCCCAGGUGGCAGCGCUCCUCACCUGCUUCACUUUGGCCACAUCCCGGAUAAAGGCUUCGUCGUCCACGUAGGAGAGCAGUUUGCGCAGCUGGUCCAGGUCUGCGAUGUACUCCUCCCCGAUGCGCUGUGGGAACACGGCACUCAGGCCCAGGUCACUCCUCCAUCCUCCCUCGUCCUUGACUUUCCAGGUCAGCCAGGCCCCGUCCACUGCAGCAGCGCCUUCCCCUGCAGCCUCCCAGCUCAGCGGUGGUAUAUGCAUCUCCCUCCCCGCCCGACCUCCAGCGCUGAUGGCUGAACCCAUCUGACCCCCACCCCCAUCCGAAUCCUCCUGGCCUCUUCCUCUGAUGGGCAAUGACCUUGGUCCCAGUCUCUGCCCCUUUCUGGCCUCACUUCAGAUGUGACCUAUUGAUAACCCCUCCAUUAGACAGUGAACUCCACCAGGCUGAGCUUCAUAGUCAGGCCUCUGUUAGCGCACAGGCACCCUCACGCAAGCAGGGGAACAGUUCCUCUCCUCCAGACACGUGCCAGGCUUGGGGAACGCACUGCACAGGAUGGAUUUCAGCCCUCAGCUGGGGCCCUACAGUGAACCACGGAUACUAUUGGCCACACAGGACCUCUCCCCUCAGCAAUGACCUCCGCCAGCCCAGGGUUACACAUAACUAGCCAGCGCCGAGGGGUGAUGCCGUUGGUCUUAUUCUGGAACUUAUGAGGCUCCAGCUCGUAGAAGUCCUUGAAGCUACAGGAUGGGGUUGGAGGGUCACCAAUUACCCCAGGGGGAUGAAGGCCACCUCCCUGGGGCCCUUCCCCUGGUUUCUUUUUCUUUUUUUUGCUUUUUAGGGCCGCACGCACAGCAUAUGGAGGUUCCCAAGCUAGGGGUCUCAUCAGAGCUACAGCUGCCGGCCUACACCCCAGCCAGAGCAACGCAGGAUCCUGGCCGCAUCUUCAACCUACACCACAGCUCAGGGCCAUGCAGAUCCUUAACCCCCUGAGCGAGGCCAGGGAUCGAACUUGCCACCUCACGGUUCCUAGUCGGAUUUGUUUCCACUGCACCACCACGGGAACUCCUACCCUGGUUUCUUGAUGAAAGGGGCGGGGAGGUGAAGAGGGUGCGGUGUGUAAGAGGGGUCACGUGGGGACCGCCCGGCUUAAAAGAAGCGCCCGGCCGAGGGCGACCGGGAGCGGCCGGGGCUGGGCCU
ensembl:lncRNA